ensembl:lncRNA
UGAUGAGCUGUUAACCGUUUGAUUGAUCCCCAUCUCUAGGCUCUGAGCCAUGCAGUGGUAGUAACCGCUGUCCUCUGGCCUGGAGAUGACCACAUCCCUCCCGUGGUACAUCACGUUAAUUUCCAAUCUGUUCAGAGGUGUCAUGUGCCAGGACCAGUUGACAGCGAGUGAAGAGGUGGGGGCAUGACAAUUCAGCACCACGGGUUGACCCUCCAUGACAACGAGGUGGGAGGGAGUGGCCGACACCUCCAACUUCGCCAAUCGCUCUGAAGCGGGCGGAGAAAAGACCUUUGCACCGACCUCAAGAACAACACUCGUGAAAUUACCUGUAAAAGAAAAUUGAACAGAGCUUAAGAACAGCCCUGGGGUUCUUCUCUGAAAUAUACUUUAUCCCCGGAAAGACAAUUUGACAAGACAAAAAAGUAUGUUGAUUUCUCAUAAAUAAACACAACACCCAAGACUAUUC